rnacentral:piRNA from 1 species
UCAAAAAAUUAAGAGUAAAGAGUGCCAUGG